ensembl:snoRNA
UGGACCAAUGAUGAGAGUAUAUCAUGAGCCAAGGAUUAUGAUUAAUCUAAUUCAUAUACCUGAAGUCAAUU